UUGGAGGGCAAGUCUGGUGCCAGCAGCCGCGGUAAUUCCAGCUCCAAUAGCGUAUAUUAAAGUUGUUGCAGUUAAAAAGCUCGUAGUUGAAUUUCGGGAUCAAGUCGUCGGUCGUGCUCAGGUACGUACUGGCGUCAUUGAUUUCUCCCUUCUGACGAACCAUGAUGUCAUUAAUUUGGUGUUAUGGGAAAUCAGGACUGUUACUUUAGAAAAAAUUAGAGUGUUUAAAGCAGGCUCACGCUUGAAUACAUUAGCAUGGAAUAAUGAAAUAGGACGUUCGAUCCUAUUUUGUUGGUUUUAGGAUCAACGUAAUGAUUAAUAGGGAUAGUUGGGGGCAUUAGUAUUCAAUUGUCAGAGGUGAAAUUCUUGGAUUUAUUGAAGACUAACUACUGCGAAAGCAUUUGCCAAGGAUGUUUCAUUAAUCAAGAACGAAAGUUAGGGGAAUCGAAGACGAUCAGAUACCGUCGUAGUCUUAACCACAAACUAUGCCGACUA
rnacentral:rRNA from 1 species